rnacentral:piRNA from 1 species
AUCUGUCAAAUGGGUGAUAAUACUGACC